CAGUCGCCGCGGUAAUACCGAGGGUGCAAGCGUUAAUCGGAAUUACUGGGCGUAAAGCGUGCGUAGACGGUUACAUAAGUCGGGUGUGAAAGCCCCGGGCUCAACCUGGGAAUUGCAUUCGAGACUGCGUAGCUAGGGUACGGAAGGGGGGUAGAAUUCCACGUGUAGCAGUGAAAUGCGUAGAGAUGUGGAGGAAUACCGAUGGCGAAGGCGACUAUCUGGGCCAACACUGACACUGAGGCACGAAAGCGUGGGGAGCAAACGGGAUUAGAUACCCGUGUAGUCCCUGUCUCUUAUACAC
rnacentral:rRNA from 1 species